rnacentral:rRNA from 1 species
UGCAGUCGAGCGGUAGCACAGAGAGCUUGCUCUCGGGUGACGAGCGGCGGACGGGUGAGUAAUGUCUGGGAAACUGCCUGAUGGAGGGGGAUAACUACUGGAAACGGUAGCUAAUACCGCAUAAUGUCGCAAGACCAAAGUGGGGGACCUUCGGGCCUCAUGCCAUCAGAUGUGCCCAGAUGGGAUUAGCUAGUAGGUGGGGUAACGGCUCACCUAGGCGACGAUCCCUAGCUGGUCUGAGAGGAUGACCAGCCACACUGGAACUGAGACACGGUCCAGACUCCUACGGGAGGCAGCAGUGGGGAAUAUUGCACAAUGGGCGCAAGCCUGAUGCAGCCAUGCCGCGUGUGUGAAGAAGGCCUUCGGGUUGUAAAGCACUUUCAGCGGGGAGGAAGGCGAUGAGGUUAAUAACCUUGUCGAUUGACGUUACCCGCAGAAGAAGCACCGGCUAACUCCGUGCCAGCAGCCGCGGUAAUACGGAGGGUGCAAGCGUUAAUCGGAAUUACUGGGCGUAAAGCGCACGCAGGCGGUCUGUCAAGUCGGAUGUGAAAUCCCCGGGCUCAACCUGGGAACUGCAUUCGAGACUGGCAGGCUAGAGUCUUGUAGAGGGGGGGUAGAAUUCCAGGUGUAGCGGUGAAAUGCGUAGAGAUCUGGAGGAAUACCGGUGGCGAAGGCGGCUCCUCUGCACAAAGACUGACGCUCAGGUGCG